rnacentral:misc_RNA from 1 species
AACGUAGGGGUCGAGCGUUAUCCGGAAUUACUGGGCGUAAAGCGCGUGCAGGCGGCAGCACAAGUCGGACGUGAAAGCUCCUGGCUCAACUGGGAGAGGCCGUUCGAAACUGUGCAGCUAGAGGACGGUAGAGGCGAGUGGAAUUCCCGGUGUAGUGGUGAAAUGCGUAGAUAUCGGGAGGAACACCAGAGGCGAAGGCGGCUCGCUGGACCGUGACUGACGCUGAGACGCGAAAGCCAGGGGAGAGAACGGG